rnacentral:tRNA from 1 species
GCAGACGUGGUGGAAUGGUAGACACGCUACUUUGAGGGGGUAGUGGGCAUAAGCCCGUGUGAGUUCAAGUCUCAUCGUCUGUACCA